CAGCAGCGCCUGCGCCGCCGCCCCGGGCCGCGUCGCGUCGCGUCGCCAGAGGAGUCACCGGGAGCGGCCGGGCUGCGGGGCGGGGAGGGGAGGGGGCGCCGGGCCCUGGGCCCUGGGGAGCGCCGGGCCGCCUUGGCGGUUGGCUCCGCGGGAGGACGGCCGGGUAACGCGGGUGCCUGCGAUGGCGAGGGCUGGCCCGGAAGGUACUACAUAUGUAAUCUGUUACAGAAAUCUUGAAUCUAAACGCAGCAGUCUUCUACAGACAGAAACUAAGCUUACAGUAGCAUUCCUCCACAAAAAGGGAUAAUCUGGUAAUCCUACAUGAGAACAAAUACAGAGGAAGCAAAGCAGCAUUACAAAGCAGAUAAAAAGACAUGGAGUCUGUACCACACACAGACAAAUGUAUCCUGAGAAUUGUCCAAUGGGGGUUGUUUUUUCAUGCAACUUUGAGGCUUCCUUGGACAUUACAGACACUUCAAGAGAAAGAAAGUGUCCCUGGUGCUUGGGGGAUCACUACCUGCAUGCUUCUUCAUAAAAAAACAGCCUCACCAAAUCAAAUCACAGACCUCUUUAGUCCAGGGCCCUGUAUCUGAUAUUGAUCAGCUGAGAAUACUGACAGAUAGAGAGCACAAAUAAGGUGUGUGUGGAACGCUGACAUCCAGUGACAUAUGAUCUUCCUGAGUUUUCAUCUAGACCGAUUUCUUUAGUAGCCUUUGGUGAAUUUCUUUGAAUUUAUCUAACUCCUUUUUGAGUGUGUAUAUUCUUCUGGUCUUCAAAAUAAUGCCAUAUCGAUUUCUAUACUUUAGUGUUAUGCUUUGUAAAAAGGCAUUUCCCGUUGUUUGGAUUAGAAGUGUCUCAUGGUUAAAUUUCAGACUAACUUAUGUUUUGUCAGAGGGAAUGAAAACACGUUCCCUAGUCUCCUUCUCAUGUUCUAUACACCUCUGUCAACCUCCUUUUCUCUCCUCACAGUUGUCUCUUGUUAACUGAAUGUCCUAGUUCAGUUAGUUUCUUCUCACAUUAAAGCCCUUCUGUAGUUCUGAUCAUCGUUGUUGCCUUUCUCUGUAGCUGUUUUUGUUUGAUUACAUCCUUUUUUAAGAAGGGAUGACCAAAAGUGAGGUAUAAUUCAAGUU